GGCAUCCACGAGCGGAGAUGGCGCGCGAGGCCGGGAGAAGCGAGGUCCAGUGAGCGAGGAGAGAGACGCUCCGUGCGGACGCGGAGGCAAAGCGACAAUGCAGUCGCAGCGAGAGAGCGAUGUGUUCUCGUCGAAGCGAAUCGGUCACGGGCCCCCCCUCCUCUCUCUAUCUGUGUGUGCGGACAUAGCCUCCCAGCGGCGUCAGAUCCAAACCCACAGCGAUGCGCAUGUGUUUGCGUUUUGUACGAAUCGAUUUGCGUUCCUCUUGUUUUGUCGUUAGGCCCGCCGUGCUCUGCGGAGUGAGCUGACGCGUGUGUGUGUACACAUACGCACGUGUGCGUGUACACACACACGCGUGUGUGUGUGUAUACACGCACGCGUGUUUUCGGAUCUCCAUCAUCCAAGAAUGGAAAGAUCUGCCGAAGCAAAUGAGUCCAUUUAAAAAUAUAUACACUCACACAUAUAGUAUAUUUGGAUGCGUGCAGACACACGCACGCAUGCGUGUAGCGGCACUAGGGCCAUCGUGUGCAGUGGAAGAAAACAAAUUUAAACAAAAAAUACCACGAUGGCUCUGAUCCAUCUCGCCUGGGCCUAUUACGGGGGGAGCGGGCGAGUGAAUGCGAAUUUGUGCAGAAGGCGCCACCGCCUCGCAUGGGCAGAGGCAACGAACGAGUUCAAUAGCAGCAGCAGCAUCAUCAUCAUCAACUCGCCAAGUUACUGCGUCUUGACAAGACGGUGGUGCCGACCAAUGCGCCUGGAGGAAGCUCCACCACCACCACCACCACCGCCGCCAGCACCAUCACGCCAGGCUGGAGGUGACCCGUGAGCGGAGCUCCGCGCUGGGAAUCGCUGAGCCGAGAGAGCUACGCGUGUUGACGCGGGGGAGGGGAGCGACGGCGGUGGCGGGGGGAGAAGCAGGGGAGAGAGGAGAGAGUGGGAGAGACUUCUCUUACUCAGUCAACAAAUGCAUUGAGCUGCCAACACCAACACCACCACCACCCUCCCCCGCUUCUUUCCUUGGCCAUCAACUCUCACCAGCGGCAGCUAGCCCACUGGUCUCAGGCCUCCCCUAGGUCGACUCAGCCUUAACAGGCUGAUGGGGCAAAUGCUGUCUGUUUAACGAGGCCCGCACAGGGCACGAGGCAGUGGUUGGCCAACACCACGCCCGGCCGCCUUUGUAUCCCACGUGGCGAUGUUUACAAAUCACACUGGCUACUCAUUUUAGGCUGAGUCGACCUAGGGGAGGCCCGGGACCGGUUCAGAUCAACGUCACUCACUCACCCAUCCACCCACACACGCACACACGCCUUGCCCACCCUCCCCCUCCCGUCGAACACCCCUGCUGUAGAAGCCAAAGACUUUCCACUCCUUCCCCAGAGCGUAAAAAAAACCACCAUCGCAUCGUGACCAGCGACCGCGCGUGUUGCCACACCCGGUUGGUACGCUCCGUUUCAGUGGACGCGCACGCGUAGUGCAGAGAGAGAGACGGUAAACGUGUCGUGUGAUUAAUACGUGUCGUUAACAAUAAUGGUGAGAAACCCCCGCCAACAACAACAACAAAAGUGAAGGAAUACCACCCUUGGGCUACGGACGGAGAGUCCAACAACGGCGCGUGGAUUUACCGCGUGCCCCAUAACUCAGCGCGGCCCAGUGGCGCGCAUCGAGCGCGUGUGUGUAUAUGGGGGGGGGGGGGGGAGAAUUUUACGAGAUGCAAGCUGUUACACGAUUUACAUUGAUCGUAAACAAUCAUAAACAAUUCACGUAUUCGUCUUAUCCGGCAAAAGCCUCGCAGAGUGUCGACAUUUGUGGCCAGGUUGCUAACUGAAAAAGAAGCGAAUGGCUUGGAGGGCCUUACCUAAGUAAGAUUUUUUUAAAGUUUAUUUGUUUUUAUUUUUGGAGUGAAUUGUUUACAUUGCCUAUAAUAAGCAC